rnacentral:lncRNA from 1 species
GAUGUAUAGAAUUUAGAAUGAGGCUGGUAUGCUUAUGGAAAUACGGAGUUUUUGGUGCUUAAAAAUCGUUUUCGAUGUUGGGACAUUCACAUUUGAGUUGAUGAUCAGUUUCGUUAGACUUGAUUUAGAGUAUUUGAAGCACCUAGAAAAUAAAUUUCGUGAUUUUUCCAUAUCAUUUGCCUAGUGAUCGAAAAUGCUCAAAAUCAAUAAUUUUUAUAGUCGUGAUGAGCCAUUUGCAAGUUUAACAGUAUAGAAAUAUCCAAAUCACAUAAAAUUUUGAUAAAAAUUUUUUUAUACUAUAUAAUAUAAGAUCGUAUCUUUGAUCUAAAAUUUUAAUACCAUAUCAUCAUAUUUUGUAAUAUUUUUAUUUUUAGCCGUUGAUUUUGAGCCAUUUCGAUCACUGAGCAAAUAAUAUCAAAAGAUUAUAAAAUUUAUUUUCUAAAUACUUCAAAUACUCUAUAUCAAGUUUAACGGAGCUGAUUGUCGAUUCAAAAGUUCCAAUAUCGAAAAUGACUUGGAAGCACGGAGCUCACCGUGCUUCCAGAAGCAUAUCAACCUCACUCAUAGAAUUUAUAUUUACAAAACCAAAAGUAUGCAACAAUGCC